CGAAUUCCAAGCUUAGAGUUUGAUCCUGGCUCAGAUUGAACGCUGGCGGCAUGCCUUACACAUGCAAGUCGAACGGUAACAGGUCUUCGGAUGCUGACGAGUGGCGAACGGGUGAGUAAAACAUCGGAACGUGCCCAAGAGUGGGGGAUAACGAGGCGAAAGCUUUGCUAAUACCGCAUACGAUCUACGGAUGAAAGCGGGGGAUCUUCGGACCUCGCGCUCCUGGAGCGGCCGAUGGCAGGUUAGGUAGUUGGUGGGGUAAGAGCCUACCAAGCCUGCGAUCUGUAGCUGGUCUGAGAGGAUGAUCAGCCACACUGGGACUGAGACACGGCCCAGACUCCUACGGGAGGCAGCAGUGGGGAAUUUUGGACAAUGGGCGCAAGCCUGAUCCAGCCAUGCCGCGUGCAGGAUGAAGGCCUUCGGGUUGUAAACUGCUUUUGUACGGAACGAAAAGCUUCUCUCUAAUACAGGGGGGUGAUGACGGUACCGUAAGAAUAAGCACCGGCUAACUACGUGCCAGCAGCCGCGGUAAUACGUAGGGUGCGAGCGUUAAUCGGAAUUACUGGGCGUAAAGCGUGCGCAGGCGGUUUUGUAAGACAGAGGUGAAAUCCCCGGGCUCAACCUGGGAACUGCCUUUGUGACUGCAAGGCUGGAGUGCGGCAGAGGGGGAUGGAAUUCCGCGUGUAGCAGUGAAAUGCGUAGAUAUGCGGAGGAACACCGAUGGCGAAGGCAAUCCCCUGGGCCUGCACUGACGCUCAUGCACGAAAGCGUGGGGAGCAAACAGGAUUAGAUACCCUGGUAGUCCACGCCCUAAACGAUGUCAACUGGUUGUUGGGGAUUAAUUUCUUCAGUAACGAAGCUAACGCGUGAAGUUGACCGCCUGGGGAGUACGGCCGCAAGGUUGAACUCAAAGGAAUUGACGGGGACCCGCACAAGCGGUGGAUGAUGUGGUUUAAUUCGAUGCAACGCGAAAACCUUACCCACCUUUGACAUGUAUGGAAUCCUGAGAGAUUUGGGAGUGCUCGAAGAGAGCAUAACACAGUGCUGCAUGCUGUCGUCAGCUCGUGUCGUGAGAUGUGGGUAGUCCGCACGAGCGCAACCCUUGCAUAGUGCUACGAAGGGCACUCUAAUGGGACUGCCGGUGACAACGAGAG
rnacentral:rRNA from 1 species